rnacentral:ribozyme from 13 species
AAAGAACCAAAGGCAGAAGAAGAAGAAGGAGAAGAAGAAGCCAAAGGAGGGCUCGAUGUUUCAGAACUCGUUUGAUUUUUCAAUUUCUUUUCCAAUUCUUCUAUUUUCUUU